rnacentral:rRNA from 1 species
UGGGGAAGUAUUGCACAAUGGGCGCAAGCCUGAUGCAGCGACGCCGCGUGCGGGAUGGAGGCCUGGUNUAACGCUUUUGUUCAAGGGCAAGGCAGGCUUUCGGGCC